CAGCAGUCGCCGCGGUAAUACGAAGGGGGCUAGCGUUGUUCGGAAUCACUGGGCGUAAAGGGUGCGUAGGCGGAUUCUUAAGUCAGGGGUGAAAUCCCGAGGCUCAACCUCGGAACUGCCUUUGAUACUGGGGAUCUUGAGUCCGGAAGAGGUGAGUGGAACUGCGAGUGUAGAGGUGAAAUUCGUAGAUAUUCGGAAGAACACCAGUGGCGAAGGCGACACACUGGCCCAUUACUGACGCUGAGGCUCGAAAGCGUGGGGAGCAAACAGGAUUAGAUACCCCGGUAGUCCCUGUCUCUUAUAC
rnacentral:rRNA from 1 species